CAGGCUUGAACUGCAGAUGACAUCCUACGAAAGUAGGCUCCCGCAAGGGCAUCUGUAGAGGUGCUGCAUGGCUGUCGUCAGCUCGUGUCGUGAGAUGUUGGGUUAAGUCCCGCAACGAGCGCAACCCUUGUCUUCUGUUGCCAUCGGGUCAAGCCGGGCACUCUGAAGAGACUGCCGGUGACAAACCGGAGGAAGGUGGGGAUGACGUAUGCGUAACAGAA
rnacentral:misc_RNA from 1 species